rnacentral:rRNA from 1 species
CCUACGGGAGGCAGCAGUGAGGAAUAUUGGUCAAUGGGCGCGAGCCUGAACCAGCCAAGUCGCGUGAGGGAAGACGGUCCUAUGGAUUGUAAACCUCUUUUGUCGGGGAGCAAAAGACGCCACGCGUGGCGUUCCGCGAGUACCCGAAGAAAAAGCAUCGGCUAACUCCGUGCCAGCAGCCGCGGUAAUACGGAGGAUGCGAGCGUUAUCCGGAUUUAUUGGGUUUAAAGGGUGCGCAGGCGGAAGAUCAAGUCAGCGGUAAAAUUGAGAGGCUCAACCUCUUCGAGCCGUUGAAACUGGUUGUCUUGAGUGAGCGAGAAGUAUGCGGAAUGCGUGGUGUAGCGGUGAAAUGCAUAGAUAUCACGCAGAACUCCGAGUGCGAAGGCAGCAUACCGGCGCUCAACUGACGCUCAUGCACGAAAGUGUGGGUAUCGAACAGGAUUAGAUACCCGGGUAGUC